CAGUGGCUGUUUCUCUCCCAUUACUUCCACCUCCCAUGAGGACUGCACCUGCGGCAGCGAUUUUAUGUGAACUUGGAUUACUGUAUGGAAAUGGAGGAGUGAGAAAGUGUGGGAAUCAUAAAAGAAGGCAGAACCAAAAGACAGAGGGAUCUUGGGCCAUGAGUCACAGCAAGGAAAGCCUCCCACCAAACAUCUGCACUGGACUCCUACAGGAACAAGAAAUGAACUAUCGUGUUCAGCCCCUGAGACUUGGGCUUAACAUGAUUUUCACAUUGUCUACCCUACCUAAUAGAGCAGAGAUGUAAAUAUUAUUCUUAUUUUAGAGGUGUGAUGCCUCAGCUGCAAUGGGUGAGAACUACUCCUCAUUUAUUCUCUUCCAAGGCAAUAAAAGAGAAUGGACCAAAGACAGUCUGUCAUCACAUCUAGUCAAAAGAGCUAAUGUCGCAGUACAACUCUUCAAAAGAAAAAGAAAAAACAAGAAAAAAGUAAUAAACAGAUGUGUUCUGCUUGAU
ensembl:lncRNA novel transcript